rnacentral:rRNA from 1 species
AGCGAACGCUGGCGGCAGGCCUAACACAUGCAAGUCGAACGAACUCUUCGGGGUUAGUGGCGGACGGGUGUGUAACACGUGGGAACGUGCCUUUUGGUUCGGACUAACUCAGGGAAACUUGUGCUAAUACCGAAUGUGCCCUUCGGGGGAAAGAUUUAUCGCCAUUAAAGGGGCCCGCGUGUGAUUAGGUUGUUGUGUAGGUAACGGCUCACCAAGGGGACGAUCAGUAGCUGGUUUGAGAGGAUGACCAGCCACACUGGGACGGAGACCCGGCCCAGACUCCUACGGGAGGCAGCAGUGGGGAAUCGUGCGCAAUGGGCGAAAGCCUGACGCAGCCAUGCCGCGUGAAUGAUGAAGGUCUUAGGAUUGUAAAAUUCUUUCACCGGGGACGAUAAUGACGGUACCCGGAGAAGAAGCCCCGGCUAACUUCGUG